AAGUCGUAACAAGGUUUCCGUAGGUGAACCUGCGGAAGGAUCAUUAAUGAAUAAACUUGGUUGGGUUGUUGCUGGCUCCUCUGGGGCAUGUGCACGCCUGCCAUCAGUUUUUCAAACCCCUGUGCACUUUUUGUAGACUAGACUUAAACGUGAUUGGAAUUGUGGUGCCUCACAGCCAGCAGUUUCAAACCGUCUUCUCUAGUCUAUGUUUUCAUUUAUACCCCGAACGCAUGUAAUAGAAUGUAUUGAUAGGCUUUUAAAUGCCUUUAAAUCUUAAUACAACUUUCAACAACGGAUCUCUUGGCUCUC
rnacentral:misc_RNA from 1 species